UUUUUUUUUUUGUAUCUAAAAGCUUCUAGCUUUUCAGGCUGGAGAUUCACGGUUUGAGGGCCGUGAGCGCGUGCGAUAUACCAGGGAACAACUUUUACAACUCAGUGAGGUAAUUUAUAUGUUAUUGCUGCUCUAAUGCAAUGGUUAAUUAUACUUUUUCUCAGGAUAUUUGUUUAUUCCAUCUUCCAUGUGAUUAUUUUCCUUUUAAUUUGGAAAUUGUGGCUAAUUAACGUUCUGCGACGUCUACUGAUCUAUUGGAUUCAUCUUUAGUAGCCUUGUGUAUUGAUUGUCUUGUGUCUAGUGUUAUGUUAUAAAUUUACUUGUAUUUAAACUUAAAGAGAUGCUGCCCUGUUUUCUACAGAACUCUAUUGUUCCUUGAAAGACAACCUACAUUGUUCCCUAUGUCUCUGGAUAAGUUUUAACAUAUGAUCUUUUGUUUUUUUUAUAUCUUGUCUCUUCUCUCCAGACAGUCUCUUUUGAAACCUAGUGCUCCAGUUUGUAUGAUUAAUGAUUCAUCAUUGGUCUAAUUGUUGAACCUUUUUAUAUUCAGGGAGUUGAGAUUCUUGAUGAUGUUUUGAAGAUCAAACAAGAUAUUGAAGCUGAACUUUUUGGUGAAGAUCAAAGUUGGGCCCGCCCAGAAAGCAAUGUAUGUGUGUUUUCUGUCUAUUAUUUAUGUUGUUAACUAAGAAGACCCUUUUCCUCUUCCAUUCUGUUGGUAAAUUGAUUGAUAAACUUGUUUAAAAAUAUCUUAUUUUUGGGAGUGAUUAUAAUUGUAUCUUACAGAGACUCAUCAGUGAUCAGUGAAUGGUAAAAUUAAAUGUCUAAUUCUGUAUGUGAUGCUGCUAUUUUUAUUAUUUUUUAUUAGCUCAAUUAAGUGUUUCAUUUUAAUGAAUUUAAUUUGUGACAUUAUCAAAAUUAUAAGUUCAACUAUUCAAAUUGUGUAAUGAAGUAUAUAUUAUCUUCUGCAGCCCUCAAAUCAAUUUCAAAAUCGAUAUUCUGAGCCAGAUAAUCGUGACUGGCGUGGACGAUCUGCUGGCCAACCUUUUGGUAAUGCAGAUGAGAGGUCUUGGGAUAAUCUCAAGGAGAAUAAGGAGUUUGGAAAUAAUCGUCAAGACCAAAUGAAUUCUCAGUUUGCAAGGGCACAGAUAUCUUCUAACCAAGGGGUACUGAUAAUUGGCAGAGAUGCAUGAUAUAUAUCUUGUACCAUUAAUGUUUUGUAUUUAAGUUUGAUCAAGUGUUGUUUAAAACACCUUACAUUAUCAUUGAACAAGAAAGUGAAAAGUAAAAGCUUUUUGAGCCUUUAGUAUGGCGGCAUUGAAUGGUUCUCUCUAUAUACAAUGUGGAUUGAAUUGUUUUAUCUUAUUUUUAAUUCUUCUAUCUCUAUUAAAUCAGGGCGGACCUACUCCAACACUAGUCAAGGCUGAGGUGCCGUGGUCAGCUAGAAAGGGAACUCUCUCUGAAAAGGAUCGUGUCUUAAAGACAGUUAAAGGGUAAUGUAUUUCUACUUUUUAGUACUGGUUAAUAGGUAAAUAGGGAUUUUUGAAUUAUGAGAAAUGCUAGCAAAUAUGUCAACUCACCCUUUAUUAUUUGGUGAAUUUCACAUGGGUCCCACUUAGAGGUCUCAUGAAUUUCUCUCAAUAGUAAAGAGUGUAUUAAAAAUAGUAUGUUGACUAGUCAAGACAACAAAAUACAAUUAUAUGUGAAAAACUGACUUGGAUCCCCUUAAUUGAUAAGUAAAUUAUGAGAUAAGGUAAGGGUUCCUUUGAUUUGAGUUGAAGAACUCGUUUAACUUACCUCCCUUAAAUCAAGAGUGGAUGCAUUCUCUCUUUCUCACUUUACAUAUUUACUCACAUCACAUAAGUUGAAUAUUUGAAGUCAAUAUUGUGAGUUUUGACUAGAUUAAUUUAUUUAUAUUUUUUCUAUGUAUCUAAUGAAAGUUAGUUUUUUUAACAUUUUGUAUUUUCUUCUUCACCCAUGUAACUGGUAAGAUUCCUCAGAAUUACAUGUCUUCUGAUACUGAUAUUCAGUGUUGUGAACCAUUUCCAUGCAGAAUACUAAAUAAGUUGACUCCUGAGAAAUUUGAUCUCUUGAAGGGUCAGUUGAUUGAUUCUGGCAUUACAUCUGCCGACAUAUUGAAGGUUCAUUUUAUUUUCUGUUUGAAGUAUUUUUCUAUCACAUCCUUGUUUUUAAUUGAUUUUGUUGGAAAUGCAGGGAGUUAUAUCACUGAUAUUUGAUAAGGCAGUGCUAGAACCAACAUUUUGCCCAAUGUAUGCCCAGCUGUGUUCUGAUCUUAAUGAAAAGCUGCCUCCAUUCCCAUCUGAUGAGCCUGGUGGGAAGGAAAUCACUUUUAAGAGAGUACUCUUGAAUAUCUGCCAGGAGGCUUUUGAAGGUGCAGAUAACCUGAGGGAAGAAGUGAGACAGAUGAUUGCUCCUGAGCAGGAGAUGGAGCGAAGGGAUAAGGACAGACUUGUCAAGAUUCGAACCCUUGGAAACAUUCGUUUAAUUGGUGAGCUGUUGAAGCAAAAAAUGGUUCCCGAAAAGAUUGUUCAUCACAUUGUUCAGGUUCUAUCUGGACUUGUUGAGACUUGAUUGUUAUAUAAUAUAUUGUUGUUUUGGGAGUUUGCACUUACCUUUGUGGUUGACUGAUACUUGAUACAGGAGCUUUUAGGUCCUGCUGACAGCAAGAUCUGUCCAGCAGAGGAAAAUGUUGAAGCCAUUUGUCAAUUUUUCAACACUAUUGGUAAGCAGCUUGAUGAAAGCCCGAAAUCACGGCGUAUAAAUGAUAUGUACUUCAGUCGUUUGAAAGAAUUGAGCACCAAUCCCCAACUUGUUCCACGGCUGCGGUUUAUGGUUCGUGAUGUUCUAGAGUUGCGUUCUAAUAACUGGAUUCCUAGACGUGAAGAGGUAAAUUAACUCUAAUGAAAAUAUGCUACAGCUCAAAUGUUGGAAGACAUUCACUGCUUUUUUUUAUCUAAUAAUUACUAUUUGUUUACUAAUAUAGGUGAAAGCCAAAACCAUCACUGAAAUUCAUUCAGAGGCAGAAAAAAAUCUUGGAUUGCGUCCAGGUGCCACUGCAAGCAUGAGAAGUAGCCGUGUAGUUUCUGGUGUUCAAGGAAACGUCAAUUCAGGAGGAUUUGCAAUUGCCCGACCUGGUACCGGCGGUAUGAUGCCUGGGAUGCCGGGGACGAGGAGGAUGCCUGGGAUGCCGGGAAUUGAUAAUGACAACUGGGAGGUGCCUAGGACAAGAUCAAUGCCGAGAGGAGACAUGUCAGGCAUGCAAACUGGAGGACGUGGUCAGUCUCCUUUCAUUUCUAAGACAUCAACUGUUAAUUCAAAGUUACUACCUCAAGGUAGUGGUGGUACUAUAAGUGGGAGAAGCAGUGCCCUGGUACAUGGGGGUGGUGGUGCUCCUUCUGCUCGUCCACAAAACAUUGGUGUUAGUGCCGAGCCCCCACCUCAAAUUCCUUCACCUGUACCUGUUAAAGUUGUUUCUGCCAUACCCUCUGAGAAGCCACAAGCUCCAGCUCCAAAAUUGAAUGUUGAGGAACUUCAGCGCAAAACUAGUUCUCUUCUGGAGGAAUAUUUCAGUGUUCGGCUUUUGGAUGAGGCAUUGCAGUGUGUGGAGGAACUAAAAGCUCCAACUUAUCACCCUGAGGUUGUGAAGGAAGCCAUUUCCCUUGGACUAGAUAAAAGUCCGCCAUGUGUUGAACCUGUUGGCAGUCUUAUUGAGUAUCUGUAUGUUAAAAAGAUUCUUUCAGCCAGAGACAUAGUGACUGGGUGCAUGUUAUUUUCUUCUCUGCUGGAUGAUAUCGGCAUAGAUUUACCUAAAGCACCAAAUAAUUUUGGUGAGAUAAUAGGGAAACUAGUUUUGGCUGGGACUUUGGAUUUUAAGAUGGUAAGAGAAAUCCUGAAGAAGGUGGAGGAUGACCGGUUCCAGAAAACAAUAUUUUCCUCUGCAUUGCAGGUAAUUAGCUCUGCAUCUGGGCAAGCUGUGUUGGAAUCGCAAGCAUCUGAUAUUGAGGCCUGUCAGAGUCUGUUCAACUGAAUCAGAUAAGUCUGCAUGAGAAUAUUGAUCUCUGUAACUGAACGAACAUCAACUUCCCUUUACGCCCUCACUUUUUAGAAGCACUUUGUAUUACAGUAUGUUAUAAAAGUGGGAGCUUCCAGUUAUCAGGUAUUUUCUCGAGUUGUAUAAUUUUUUUUUUGUUUUCAUGUCGUAGAGGUGUUUUUUGAGGGAAAAGUUAAACCAUAAAGCUACGGAUUUUGUUUUCCAGUUGGCUAAUCAUGUGCCAAGAGAGUGGCCCAUCCUUCCGGGGGUCCAAAUGUUUUUGUACUUCAUUAGUUUCAUUUUUUCCCUUUAUUUUCUUGACAGAGAGUAAUUGUUAAACUGGUCAGUUCAUAAAUAUCAUUGUCGUUACUGUGGCAUGUAUUUAUUGAAGGUUUGAAUUCAUCUUUGUGUGGGUGCAUGUCCAGGUAUCUCACUUCUUUCAUUCCUCUACACUCUAAAUUGGAGGAACGUAACGUUUGAUGUCCCAACAGUAUCAGAGGGGACUAUUAAAUUUAAUUUCGAAAUGCCAAAUCCCAUGUUUUGAACUAUCUCAUCUUAAAAUGGUUUUUUAUUAAAAUUAAAUUUCAAGCCAAGUGAUUAAUAUUUAAUUUUUGUUUGUUUGAAAAAUGCGUUUAUAACAUUUAAGGUAUAAUUUGUAGUAUCUUCAGAUGUUUGAAAUUUAAUCGGAAAGAGAAUUAAAGAUAAUGAUUUAUAACUUGGGUAUUUUUGUCUGUCAACUUAGAGAUCUAACUAGGAUUAACUUAACAUUUUUACUGCAAGAUCAAGAUUUUGGUUAUUUUAUUACUUAGCACAUAUUUGAGACUUGUAUGGUUUUUGUGAUGGAUGCAGAGUUUUACUGACUUUUCCUGACAUUUACUAUGUGAACAUUAAACAGGUUUAGUUAUCUCAAAUCAAUUAUAUUCAGUACUAAAUUAUUUUUGAAAAUGUUUAAAACUUGAAACACUAUUAAAGUAUUAUCCUUUCGAAUCUAAAAUGGCAUCACGGGAUUCCCUUCAAAUGUUGUGCUUUUGAAAAACAAUCUUGAAGACAUGAAAUUGUUCAUAAAGUGACCCAAUUCAAUGCAUCUAUUAAAUCGAUCUGAAAAUAGUUAAAACUUGAAUAAGCCAAUAGUCCACAUAAGAUAUUUUUAUCGGGUUAACUUCGAUUUUGGAUGUAAUUUUUAUAACUGAUUCAAAAAUUCAAAUCACAUUCAUAUAUGUUAUUUUUAUUUACCAUAUUAUCCAUAUUUAUUAAUCUAGAAAAUUAUAAAAUUAUUAUACUUUUUAUAUGUUAAUAUCUAAAUUUUAUCUUAAUAUUAUAAUUUUUAUGCAUUUAUUGGUUUAAUUUGUUUUUUUUAUCUCUUAUUAUUUAUUUUUAUUAUACAAUUUUUAUUUUAAUAUUAAAGAAUUAAUUUUAAUAAAAAAUAUAUUAGACAAACAAUAUAAAAAAUAACGAGUCUAAGUCUAAAUUUCUUAAUACAUUUUUAACUAAUAAUUUUCAUUUUUAGCGAGCAUGAAUUUAAGUAAUAAUUUACAUUUUUAAUCGUAAUGUAUAGAGAAAAGUAAAAGAUUUAGUCCUUUACUCAAAAUUUGUACAAAACCAUGAAUUAAAUAUUUUAUCUAAUAUAUAUUACCCAUAAAAAAUGCAACAUAUAUAUAUAAUCCUUCAGUAAUAAAAAAAUCGAAUAUAAUCAGAUUAUAAAUCAAUCCGCAGUUUAUCUUUAUAAAUAAUAAAUUAGCUUAAAUAUGUUUUUCUCCUUAAUUUGGCACAAUUAUUAUAAUGUAGUUGGUCAUUCCAAUUUUCCAUUCAUUAAAAAGUAAAAUAAUACGAAUUUACGAAAAAAGUAGUUAGAAAAAUAAUGUCUUCUAUAAAUGGUAUAAAUAACAAUUUAUUCAGAAAAAUUAAAGUUAAUGUUAUGAAUUAAGUGAUAACUUUAUGAAAUAAAAAGCUUAAAUGACCAUUUAAGUAAAUAUAUAAUAGGUCUUUGAUUUUUUUUUAUUAGAGUGCAGAUAUAUAAACUUUUUUAAUAUCGAUUUAUUUAUUUUAAUAUAAAAGUCCAACCGCUUUGGCGCCUUUUUUGAUUUGGGUUGGUGUUCAUCUGAAGUGAAAUAAAUGGCAGAGAAGGAAGAUGCAAGAGGGAGCGAUGAAUCGCUGAAGCUAGCGGUGGCGAUUUCGCUUCUCAGAUCAAAGAUUCUGAAAAAUGCAAACGAGUCCAGUGCGCUAUCUCCUUCGCAAUCUGAUGCUCUUCUCCGUUGGAAGCGAAAGGUAAAACACUUCUUUCGUUUUCAUCCCAAUCUAACGCCUUCGAAUAUUCACUUUUAUUUCAUCUUCGGAUUCUCAGGCCAAGGAAAGAAAGCAAGAGGUCCUGAGGCUCAGAGAAGAUCUUAAGGACGCUAAAGGUUGGUUCUCAUUUCUCUCGCAUAUAAACUCACGUUCACGCGAAAUGGAUUAAUUCUGAGUUUCUGGAUGUAGAUGUUUCGCACUGCGAUCUAUUCCCGGAGAGUGCUGCUUGCAAGUGCUAUUUCUUCGACAAAAUCGGAGAAGUAAACCCUACGGUUCACGGAACUGGUUGUGACACUAGAUUCAGCGAUGUCCUUCGACGCAGAUUUCUAAGACAAGGUAUAAUCAUCGUCGUCAUUAUUAUCUACUUUAUUACAUAACUACGUUUUUUGCAUUGACGUUGAAAAUUGGCUUCUGCAGUGCGAUUUAAGGAAAGGAGGAGAAAAAUAGGUUCUUCUUCUCCUUCUUCUUCAAGUCAGCAGCGGCUUUCUUUAGGUACAUAUUAACAGCGUUUAUAGUUGUAAACAAGUGAGCGUUAGACUCUGUGGUGAAUCACGCGGAUUAUUUGUGUGUUUCAUAAUUUGUAAUUAAAACGGUGUUUUCACAAAUAGUUCAAGAUGACGUGUCUAAUAUCUGGGAAUUUUGAUGUUAAGUGCAAAGAAUUGUACUAAAUUUGUUUUCUAAUUUGAAACUUUACCCUCAGGUUUAAUCAAGGAGGAUGAAGCAGAACAGCUUAGGGCCUCUGUUGAUUUUCUCGUGGACUUGUGCAGCUCUCAAUCACCUGUUAGGAUGCUUCACUGUUUUAGUAUUUUUUUUUCCUAAAAUGAUCUAUUCAACAUUUGAAUAAUGCAGUAUAUAGUUUGUUGGUUUUUGGUUAUCUUUAAGGGGUUAGCAUUUUUUCUAUUAGCUUGUUUUGCAGCUAUUAUGUAUAGUUAUCUUUGUUUUUUUUUCUAUAUAUUGUUGCUCAAUGAAUUCAUGAGCAAUUCACCAUCUAAGUCUUUUCUUCCUUCUCUAUCAGGUGUUUUUCAGCAGAGUUCAUAGAUACUAGUGAUAUUGAAUAGAACAUAGUUACAUAACCAUUAAUUUUUUUAACAUGCUUUAUUGAUGUAUUUUUUUGGUCAUGUGGUGUAUUCAAUUUAUUUUGCAGGUGGAUGAUUCCAAGUUUUCAAAUCUAGCACAUCAAGCUGUGGAUUUUAUAUUAGGUACUCUUCUCGUUUCACUAAUGGAAAAGCUUUUCCUACCUUUAUUUAUCUAAUUAUGUAAUUGAAAAUACUAUGUCUAUUUAUUUGAGGACCCAGUGCAUCAAGCUGUAGAGUUUAUAUGCGGUAUGCUGCUUUUGUGACUAUUGACUUUUCCACUUCUUUUGGUUUCAAUUCAAUAAAUGAAUAUUGUGAACCCAAAACUUUGGGCGUUCGCUAUCAUUCUAAUUAACUGCACUUCAUAGUAAUUUAUGUUGUAAACAUGCAAGACCAUGAUCAGUCUCCCACUCAAUGAUGAACUGUAAAGUAACUUAGUUCUGGCCCCUAUUUCCAGUCCCGUUCUCACAUGAAGUUGUAAUUUGAGUUAUGAGCGAUUAACAUCAAAAUUUAGUUUUUGAGCUAUACUAAGUUUAACUUUGAUUUGUAGGGUUUCGUUAUGGAUCACCAUUAUACAUGUAGCCCACGAUCACAUUUAUUUGUUAUGUGCUCUGAAGAUUAUAUUUGUAUGUCUGUUUUGAAGUUGCGUUGAAGAAUCUUUUAUCUAUGGGAAGGAACCAUGAAUUUGUUGAAGGAGUUGUCAACAGCCUAGUUACACGUUUGAGUAGGCAGAUGUGCACGUCCUUGUCAGAAAAUGGUAUGCAUAGUUUGAGAUCAUGUCAAUAAUCGUAGAUUACUUUUUAAGUUCAAUGUGUAAGACGGUAAACUUGUAUAAAAUUGUUGCCAUUGUGACCUUUAUGCUAUAGCUUCACGCCCUCGCCAUUUUAUGACCGUUUAUUUCUUGAUCAUUCUAACAUUGACUUACUGUCUCUUUUUUUGCCGUUUAUCUUCUAGGGUCUCAACACACGGGCACCAAUGCUCAAUUUUGUGUUCAGCAUUUGAUCCGCAAACUUGGAAGCGAGCCUUAUAUUGGCCAGCGGGCAAUACUUUCAGUGUGUCAAAGACUUUCGGUUCUAGCAGAACGUUUGCUUUUCUCUGAUCCUUUUGAUGAUGGCUUUCCUGAAAUGCAUGAAUGUAUGUUCAUAAUGUAAGUUCUUUGCAAAAGAGCAAUAGUAUAAUAUCCAGAUUCAUAAAUCAUAUCGAAUGGCUAAAUACAGGUUUCGUGGAAAGGAAUGAUGUUUUUGAAGACAUAACAAUUUAUCUAUUUUUUAUGUGAUUGUCAGGAUCCAGCUUAUCGAGUUUUUGGUUGCCGACUACUUAUUAGAGUGGUCAAAAGCUGAAGAUUUUGACAACAGUAUGCUUCAUGCUUUAUACUGAACUUAACUAAUUAGUUGACAUAGAAUCUUGAUUUCUCUGACCCAAAACAAAUACAAGUGAGCCAACAUUUAGCAUUUUUCUCAACUAUUACGUUUUUACUGUAUAUUAUUGCUAACUGACUGUAAUCAAGAUGAACCAAGUUUAAAAAUUUAAACUGAGCGGUAACUUAUGGUAACAAUGACUUUUCAGUGCUUCUUGAAGAUUGGGUGACAUCAAUUGUGCAGGCAAGAAAAGCAUUAGAACUUCUAGAAAGCCGAAACGGACUAUAUGCGCUCUAUAUGGACCGAGUCGCAGGUGAAUUGGCAAAACAACUUGGUGGUGUCUCAUCGUUUCUGAAGCUUAAACCGGAUAUAAUUAAUUGCCUCCUUCGUUAAACAUGAUUGAGAGUAUUGGAAAAAAAUAUUAUGGAUGGGAAUGAAAAAGCGAAUACGAUGCUGUUAAUUGAAAUUGUGGCGAGAAUCUGCUCACGGGCGCUGCCGAAAGGGUCCUGCUCGUGUACAUGGUGAGGAGUAUUAGCUCUUCUCGGCUUUUUUAUCAGGUAACUGUCAAUGCAUCAGUGUCAUGUUUGGAUUAUAAUCUGUACUCUGUUCCUCUAAAUUAUCAGACAAUGGUUGGUUUUGUUUGGAUUGACCAACGAGAAAAAUACUAUCGAUAAGAUAAUCGAGUUAAAAAGGUAAUACAUAAAACCAAGAAAAUUAUAAAAUUUAAAUCCCUUCACCUGAAUAACAUACUUCAACAUGAUUUUCUAGUACCAAUUUAUGGAUUGAGUAAAAAAAGUUACUUUUUUUAAUUACACUAAAUUAAAAUUUUAGCAUAUAUUUAAUCUUACUUUUUGAGUUGAAUUUUUUUAAGGAUCGAGUAUUCAAACAUUAACUUGUCCUACAAUGGAGAGAAAGAAUUUGCCCAUCUCAAUUUUCCUUAUUAAUUACUGAUUUAACAUGUGCAUGCCUCUGACUCAAUUUUUUGUUUUAUUUUUAUUUAAAUAUUUAUAUAUUUCAUUGAUUAAUUUGUAUAAACUAAUUUCACAGGCAAUAUGUCUACUGUGUUUAAGAAUUAAACAAGAUUUGGAAUAAGAGAUUUAAUUUUAAUAAUAUGCUAAUAAUCAAAAUUAAAAUUAUCAUCAAAUUUACAAACUAGUAUUGGAAUUUAAUUUUCCUGACAUAAAGGUUUUUACAUUAAUACUUAUUAAAAAUUUCGGAUAUAUUUUUUAAAAUAAUUGAAAGUUAACAAAUUUACUUUAGCAACACAAUUUGAUGUUAGUGUGACUCACUAAAUUCAAGAAAAUCCGAAUCAGUGUUAGUUUGUAAGCUAAUAUUUUGUGUGAAUCAUAGCAGGGUAGAAAAUAAAGCAAAAGAAAAAUUGAAAAAAAGAAAGUGAAAAAAAAAUAAUAAGAGAAAAAAUUGUCAUUAAUUUAAUUGACGUAAUUAGAAUAUUUUUUAGUAUAUAUUUAAAAAGUAAUUUGAUAUAAAAGACACUUCAAAAAAUAUAAAUUAGAGUUAAAAUUAUUUUUAAAUUAAAAUAAAAUACUAUAAAAUUUAAUAAAUAAAAAGUUAUAUUUCAAAAUAAAAAUAUAUUAACACAAAUUAAUUUGCAAUAUUAAAAAUUUAAUUAUUUUAUUUACUAUUUAUUUAUUUUUUAUUUUAAUUAUUUAUCUUAUUAUAAUAUAUAUAUAUAUAUGUGUGUGUAUAUAUAUAUCAAUAAUAUAAUUGUUAAAAGGAUUACUGAUAUUUAUAAUUAAAACGUAAACAAUAAUAAAAUAUUUAUUAACAUAAUUGAUUUUAACAUAAAUAUUUUAUUAUUAUUUACCUAAAAGCUGAUAAUAUAUACUUUUAUUGCAAAAUUUUCUCAUUUACGAAGAGUUCAUCAUCCAAAAUUCCCUUCAUUUUCCGUAUUUUCAAUUUUGUAUUUUGCAUUUUUCCGUUGUUCUACGUAUGUGUGAACAGUUAAUAGUAAAAAAUACAAACCCACACGGUAUACUAACUCAUGAUGUUCACGACAGACUUUAUUACCUAUCAUAACCAUCAAUAGGUUUUCAUAAAAAAAUACUUCAUGACUAUAGAUAUUUCAUGACUAUAGAGAUUAUGAUAUUUUAUUAUAACGUGGAAAUCUCAUUUCAUAAAUAAAUUUUAUAAAAUUAAAUUAAGUUCACUUCUUAUAAUAUAUCUUGCUAUUCUUUCUACCGUGCUACAUUUUGUUUUGCAAAAUUAGCAUUGUCUCUUUUGCAACAACGAGAUUAAUUGUUCACUUGGGUAAAGAACAAAAAAAAGUUCUCACCCUCUUUCUCAUUCUCUCCUUCAUUUUCAAAAUGAUUGAAACAAACCUGCCAGUAAAAAGUAUUUAUAUAGACUCGAAAUUGGCUCAAUAGUUAAAUUUUAAAAGUAGUUUUCUGAAAUGUUUUUUUAAAUGAUUAAAUCGUACACAAUUUAUUCAAACAAAAUUCGUCAAAUCCAUUUAUGAUUUAAAAAGAAAAUCAUAUAUUUAAGUUACUGGAUUUAAGAAAAUCCAUUCGCUUAUGAAAUAUACGUUCUUAAUUUUAAAAAAUAAUAAUGUGUAAAAAAUAAAACAAAAAAUUAAAAAAAUAGAAAAUAAUGUAUUUAAGUUUACUGGAUUUAAUAAUUAAAGAAAAGUAAGUUUUAUAAAACAUUUUUUUUAACUAAAUAAGUAUUUAUAAAAUAUAUUUAUAUUAUAUAAUUAAAGAAUGACUGAAUUUUUAAAACAUAAUUUUUUAUUAUAUUUAAAUUAAAAAUAAAUAUAAAUUUUUAAUUUUAAUACAUUAAAAUUAUUUUAAAUUAUUAAUCAAAGUAAUAAUGUAAUAAUUUAAUAAUAUAAGUAAAUUAAUUUUAAAAAAUAAUUAAAGUAAAUUUAAUCUAUAAUAUUAAGUUGGUAAAACUCUAAAUUUAAAAUAUUAAAAAUAAAUUAAAAAAUUUAACCGGAGAAAUAACUCUUUUUGUUGUCUUCGAAAAACUAAAACCUAUUUUUCUUUAAUUAUAUAUAAAAAAAUUAAAGUUGUUAUUUUUUUUAUUUUAUUUUACAUAUUAUUAUUUUAAAAUUGAAAACAUAUAUUUCAUAUAUAGUUCUACAUUAAAAUUGUAUAUGAAAUAUAAGAUUUUUUAAAAUAUAUUUGGUGAUUUUUAUUUGAAAAAAUUAUAUAUUCAAUUUACCUAUUUUUGGGAAAAAAAAGAUUUUUCCUAUUUCAAGAAAUUGCUUUUAAAAUUGCACUUGGAACAAAAAGAACCUAGAAAUUGAUUAUAAAUAAGGAACUUGGUUAUUAGUAGCCACAUACAACUUCACUUUAUGGUAUCAUGUUAGACAUGAACAAAACACUAGUUGUGUACUUCUUUUUGUUCGCCUAUUUGGCUUACGGAAACACACGCACGGAAGAUACUGCAUAUCAUGACACGGACUCUAGUCGUAAUCAACUUUGAUAUUUUUCAGUUUUUUAUUUUCUUCUUUCUUUUUUAUCUUAUUUCCUUUGAAAUUGUAUAUUUGAAUGAUAAUCCAUUUGUCUCUUACGUGCAUGCAGCAAUGCAGAAGAUGAGAAAUGAAUCAAGCAAACCUUGCAUUGAAAGAGAAUUUGAAGAAUUGCAUGAUGCCCAACAAACAAUGGUUUUUCGUGAAGCAAAGGGAACAUCGAGCAGACCAAUCAAGCUAAAGCCAGCACUCGCCUACUUUUCAAACUCCAAUUCAUUCAAACCUUCAUCUCUAUUCAUUCCACCACUCGCCUACUUUUCGGCUUGCUUUUAGUUCCUUAGACCAUUUUCUAACUCUUUCUUUAUGUAUUUAUAAAUUUAUGCGGAUCUCAUACUUUUUAAAAUAUUAAAUUAUUUUAUUGAUUUCUUUUAUUUUGUAAUAUUAGUAAAUUUUUUGGAUUAUAGUUGAAAGCAUUCUCCAUUUAUGGUUUCAUUUCGAACGUUAACUUAAACGAAUAUGGGAAUAGAAAGCGACAACGCUUUUUCACCGUUGAUAAGAGUGUCACGUGUGCGCCUACGAUUGAGUAUGGUGAAAUGUCACCUAAAAAACGCUUCGUGUGCUGUGCCACACCUGCCCAUUGUGAGAUGACAUGUAAGCCACCAUAGCACACAAAUAGUCUCUUUGUUUAAGCAAGCUCAGCUCGAGUCUGGAGGCUUGUGUAUUGGACCAGGGCGCUCGGGGCUCAGUAUUCGGUGACCGGAUCUCGGUGCGUGGCACAAGUAGGACAGCUCCGUUGUUGGGCCAGUGUAAUGAGCCAUGUGCUUGGGUCCAGUUUGGACAGUAAAUCUAUUUUGGUAUAACUAAGGUAACCUCUUGUACGUAAAUGCAAGACAAUUAAUAAAGGAUAUUUGUGGACCUAGGGAUGCGCUUAGUGCGUAUGGGGUCUAGGUCAAGUAAAUGUUUUCUUUUAGACCUAAGCUCGUGUGUUUUAGGACACGUAGUGGUUAGGUUGCAUGUAUAAUGAAAGAUAACGUAGCACCAUGAGUAGGGUGUCCACGUAAGUACCCCUGAUGUUGGCGCAUGAGUUGGUGCCCUGGUGGUUGUUCUGUUAUUAUUUUAUGCACUCCUUGGAGAUAAGAUUCUUUUCAAUUGUAGCACCUCGAGAGAAGGCACCCCUGAACAAAAUGUGUUUCUCCUAUUAAGUAUGCUUUCAGUUGAGAUUAGAUUCUCGUGAUAGAAAAUGGUUACAAGAGGUAAGCUAUAAAAGGGGCUUGAGACCCCAGGUACGACUGAAACUGAAUACUUCUUUAUUUUUAGUCCUUUACUAACUUGAUCGUCGGAGUGCAAUCAACAGAUAAGAACCCUCUGUUUCAACGGAGCCGUGUUCCAGGGGCAGAUCGAGGCUAGAGUUGGAAGCCAAGGUCAUUCGACGAAGAAGUCAACCGACAAGAACACAAACUAUACAAAUCUUAUCUUAAUUAAUAUUCAUCUCAAACUCAAACAUUUAAAAUAUAUCUAGACAAUAUAAAACCAUCUAUAAAACUUAAGAUAUAAAACCAUGUCACCUUCACAUAGAGAUCAUCUAUCCUAAGGUUCUAUAAAAAAAUAUAAAUAGUUUUCUUUACGUGUAAUUCUUUACUUCUAAAGAAAGUUCUAGCCUUAACAGGAUAAUUAUUCAAUACCUAGAGACCUAGAACAAAUUAUUUAGAUAUAGUCAAAGUUCAAUACGAGCUUAACCAAGUUGAGAUAAUCAUCUUUUUCAAUUAAUCCUAACAAGAUUGAUGACAAAUUCACGAGGAAAGAAAGAAAUAGAAUAAAAAAAUCUUUAAAGUAAAGAAAAACUUAAUUUAAUCAAUUGAAAAUUAUUCUUAACUCAUAAGCUACUACGAAGUGUGAUCAGAUUCCUAAAGAAUUGAGUUUUGGAGGAAAGAAAUUUGAGAGACUAGAGAGAAAUUCUUUUUGGAAAGAAAAAAAAUGAGAAAUGAAUAGGAUGGAGAAAGGAUCUUACAAAUCCACCAUUAAUAUUUUUACUUAAUUUUAUUUUUAACUCUAAUUGAAUUUUCUUAAUUUUCAAUGUAUCACAUUUUAUGUUUAAAAACAUGUAGAUUUCAUUUAAAAUAUAAUCGAAAAAAUUUCCUAAACAAAGCAUUUACUCAAUAAAAUUUUAUUGAUUUGAACCUAAAUCUUUAUUAUCUAAAUUCGAAGCAGACAUAAUUUUAUAUCAAUAUUUACUUUAUUGUGUGCUAUUUAAGGCAGUUAAAAAUAUUUUAUCUUAUAUCACAAUACUUUUUUCAAUAUUUUACAAAAUAAAGUAAAAAAUAUUCCUCGACAUCGUUCUAGAAUACUAGUUAUUAUACAAACAAGUAGUCCUGCUCUUAGCUUUAAUACAAUGUUGAUAUGUUUGGAUAAACGUUUCUAUAAAAGUUUAUGGAAAACAAUAAAAAAUUAUCUUUGAAGUCUGGAAAAAACUACAAAAAAAAAUAAAUUGAAUUCAUCUUAUUAGUUAAUUUGUAAAACCAAAUCGCGAUUUUGUACUACGGAUCAUCUUCUACAUAAUUUUCUUGGAUCAUCUUUGUAAGUUUUCCAUGGUUGAAUUAAAAUUUGAAUGUCUAGAGACAUUUCUUCAUCGAAAACGAAAUCUUACACAGUGGGAUAGCAUUCUGAAUAAAAAGAGUGAACUCAUCUCAAACAUCAGAAUCAAAACUUACCCUAAUGAUACUAGCUUCAAUAACAAGGCAAUUAUCCACUCAAUGAUUACCUAUUCAAAUUCUAGCUGUAGAUAAAUGUCCUAUAAGCAUACAUCAUUACAUUACAUCAAUGGCAACGCUGAGGGUACUCUAAUUUAAGAACAUCAAUUUCAGAGACAAUUUACCGUACAAUGUUAAGAGAAACAUAAAAGAAGUAAUGCAGCAGCAUCAAACUAGAAUAUUAUCAGGUAGAUCUAUUAUGAGAACCUGACACAAGGCAACACAUAUAGUCAAAUAAUUCUAAAUACAUGGAAGGCAAACAACAUAUAAUUACAUAGAUUAUAAUUUCUACAAUAUAUACUUGACUGUGACAAAUUGACAAUGACCAUAGAGACUCAACUAAGAUCUCCACAAAGCAGCAGAAAGAAGGUGAAGUGAUGAAUUCAGAGUGUUUAUAUCUUGGAUCAAUCUUCCCCUCACAGAUCAGAUUCGAAAAAUAUCUGUUUGAAACCUCUCAUCAUAUAAACUCCAAUGUCCAUACCUUUCAGUGUGGAAGACAGACCUGGGGAUAUAGAAAUUUGGCUUCUUAAUUUCCUUCAAGUGCACCAAACUAGAAGAAGCAUUUGCAAUGUCUCGACUAGUUAAGUUAGCACACCCAGACACAUCCAGGAACUCAAGGCUAGGACAUCCCUGGGAAAUGGAAUUGAGACCCUUGGCUGAUAAUUUGGAGAACCUAAUCUCAAGAUGCUCAAGACCAGGCAUGGAAUUAGCAAUUGCAACAGCCUCAUCGUCUCCAUCUUGUGGGCAAGCAUUUAGAUACUCAUUAGGAACAAUGCCUUGGUGUUGGGAAGGAUCAAGCCAAUUCAUGAGAUUUCUUUUCAGAACCUUAAGGUUGGAACAGUUUCUUCCAAUCAGCACCAAUGACUCAUGGGUUAUCUCAUAACAAUAGCUGAUAUCCAAUUCUCUAAGCUUCUUACAACUCAAAGCUAUCUUAGACAUAGAAUCAUCAGUAACACGAGGACAGCUUCUGAUAGACAACACCUCAAUAUUCGGGCAUCUGAAAUGCAAAUAUAUUUUAAAAAGUGUUAAAUUCUCCAACGUAACGUUGUAUUCACAAUAGAAGGAACAUAUAAACACACAAAUUAAAAUAUUAGAAUUUCAUAAUCAAAGCCCUAAUUUAAAAGAAAAAACAUAGCAUAUAUGAUAUCGAAAUCUUAAAUGCAACCAUAACUAAUUAUGACAUGUUUGAUUCACGUUAAAUGAUCCAAAAUCACGUGAAAAUACCAGCUAAUACGAUUUUAGAUGUAGGUAACAUGAUUAGUUAACAUUGAAUAGUUGAUUCUGGAUUUUAGUUGAUUUAAAAUCAAAUGAUCUUCUGGAUCCUAAUUAUCCUAAGUCGCUUUUACAAAGAAAACAUUAAUCACUUUUCAUUCAAACACUCAAACAAAUGGGUAUGGGAAUUUGGGAGAAAGUUGGAACCUUAGGGCGACGAGGGCGAGAGAUCGAUCGGAACAGUGGCGAAUGCGUAACUGUGUGAGAGAGGAUUGGGUCCAUUGGACGACAGAUUGAAGCAUGGAAUCGAUCUUGGCCUCGAACUCGGAGGUCCACCAGCGAGUUGACUCGAGGGGCGAGUCGAAUUGGGGAUCGAGGUCGAAAACGGAGUGAAGAGAGGGUUCCUUGAAGGCGCUGAACCAUGACUUGCAGACCAACAUGGCGCCGCGCCAUCGAUCCUCAACGCUGAGUCGAGAGAGGAUGUUGAUGAGUAACUCGCGAGUCAACUCGCCCCAAUCUGACUCGAAUUCCUUUGGCUCAGUUUCUGCUUUCAUUCUUCCUUUGGAAUCAGAUUUCACUCAACAUUUCAAUUCUGUGUUUAUUAUAUUACACGCUGUUUCCAUUUCAUACCCUUUUUCUUCUUUCUGAAAUAUGUCUACGUAUAUUUUUUAAAUUCUCUAUAUUUCUUUUUGUUUAAUUCUUGUUAUAUUAUUUAAUUUCUUCAUAUUAUUCUUUUGUGUUUGUCCUUGUAAUAUGCAGAUUGCUUUUUUGGUCCUUAUUGAGUGUUUUUUUAAAGGGACCAAUACAAAAUUUUAAAAAAUAUUAUACGCACUAAAAAAAUAUUUUAUAGAGAUUAAAACAUAAUAACAAGAAAAAAAAUAACAAAGGAAAUUUAACAGGGAUCAAAAGUAAAAAAAAAAGGAAAAAAUAAAAUACAAUAAUAUUUAAGGGAUUAAAAGUAUGUUCAAAUAUAAAUUGUUAAAAUAUAACUUGAAUAAAAAUAUUGGAAGAGAAAAGUAGAUGAAAAAAUAAAACAGAAAAUAUAUAUGCAUUAAUAAUAAUUCCUAAAAAUAAUACUAUUUUUUGCUCAGUCGCAAAUAUAAAUAAAUUAAUAUUUGAAAGGAUAACUCAUGUUUCUAAUAUAAUCGCUAGCAGAUUAUUAUAAAAGAACUUAACUUCAUUACAAAUAGUAAUUUUUUGAAAUGUUAAAUUUUAGGUUCUUAUAUUUAAUUCUUGCUUUAUUCUUAACAUACUUAUCGAAAUUUAGUUUAACUAUUUUGUAUCUAAGGUAGGAUUUUACUAGUACCUUUUAUUUUUUAUUUUUUUUUGUAAGAGAAGGUAGGUUUAUAUUAUCUUAAUUUUCUUUACUCUUUUUAUCUGAUAUAUAUAUAUAUAUAUAUAUUUAUUACCUUUACAUACAUAAUAAAUUACAAUUGUAGUGUUUAUGACAAAAAAAAAGUUUAAAGUAUUCAAUUAAAUUUUUCUAUUUGAAUCUUAUCUUGUAAUGAUUAAAGAAUUAACUUUUUUUAUUGGAAUUUCAAGUUUAUAAUGAAUUUAAACUAAUAAUAUAUUUAGAAAUUAUUAUUAUUUUUUAAAAUGUGUGUAAAUAAAAUUUAAUCACACCCAAUUAAACUAGACUAGAAUGUCUUUCUAUUUAUAGUCUCAUACUAGAUAUAAAUUUUCUCACGUUAGUCUUUUCACUUAAUGUUUAUUAUUUUCAAGAUAUUUGAUUUUUUUUAACUUUCUUGAUUAAAUUUCAUAGUUUUCAACACUUAAAACUAUAAUUACAAAACUUUGGAAUCACCAUCACAUCAUUUACCAAAAUUUAUUCAUCAUAUUCUUCCAUCAAUUAAGAAGAGAUUCCCAACAUAAUAAACUAACUUUCAAUAUAAAAAAAUAAAAUAAAAGUUAUUAUAAAUGUAUCUUUUAUAAUUAUAAUUGAGUAAGCAAUUAUGAUUAUCUGAAUUGCUAUAAUGUGAUUAUAAGAGUUCAAAUAUAUUUUCUUACAAUAACUCCAGUAUGUAUAACUGAGUAAGCAAUUAUAGUUAUGUGAAUUGGUAUAAUGUGAUGAUGAAAAAAUAUGAACAUAAUUAUAUGCAAGUUGAAGACUAACUUUUAACAGUUUACAAUCAACAAUACAAAUUCUAAUAAUAUUAACCAUCUUAGAUAAAAGGAUAACUUUCUUGAUAUUCAAAAAUCACAUUUUUUUCGAGAUUAUUAUAAAUAUGAUUUGUUAUUUUUUUAAUGAAAUGAUUUUUUAAUAUGGAUAUAUGCAGUCUGCCUUUUGUUUUUCCAUGAAAAAAGAGAUGACCCCAAGAAAAAGCAAAAAAACGAGUAAGACUAAAUCCUUGAAGUUGAGGAGCUGAGCUUGCAAGGAAAAAUAAAGCUUUUCCAGUGUGCAUCCUUCUAUCUGAGAAAGCCACAUUGCUGCUAAACGUUGAAGGAUAGUUCGAGACUAAAAAUUGGCUCUAGUGACUCCCUCUGUGGAUAUUUGGCCUUGUACGCGUGAGAUUAAAGAGUCUCCCAACUAGUCUUCAACAUACACUUGGAUUGGAUAUAUACAGUUUUUUCCAAGCAAUUCAUUGGGGUGGAAAUUGGCUAGACAGCAAGAGCAUAUUCUCAUUUGAAAAUAUUGAUUCCUUGUUGAGACCCGACAACUUCAAAGCCAAGGAGAAAUUUUGAAUUAACCAAUAUCCUUGAGGCUAUGUUUUACAUUCAACAAUUCCUUAAUACGAUUCAUUUAAAAGAGGUUAUUACCUAGAAGCCCCAAAUUGAUAAUCGCAGAGUAUACAACGAUUACUGGACAUAUUAUAAACAUUUCUUAUGCUUGUGAGCUUGAAUGUCUCAAAAAGCUAAUAAACUUUAGUCAUUUUAAUAGUAACUUCAGAAAAUAAUGUCCUUGGGAAUUUUAAUGUUUUUCUUGAGUUUUUCCCAUGUAGUCAGGUUAAGAAAUUGAAAACCUCGAUCGGGUGGAGACAGUCAGCAGUAAAACAAGAAAAGGCUCACUUAAACAAGGGUUCCAGGUCUUUGAAUGAGAAGAGUUAAAAAGUCAAGCAUUAGGGACACCAAGUGAUGAAUUGUCCUGGCUCAAGAAAGUAAAGUUAGAAGUUGGUUUUAAAGGUACUAGAAGGCACACUUCAGCAAGGCUAAAUGAUCACCCAAGCAAGUAAUAUCAAAGAAGGCCGCAGCUUGGCAUGACAUGAAGACUCCCUUAACUGAAUGAAGUCAAGAAAUACCCUAAGACUAAAUGCUCGCUUAGGUGAGCAAAGAUGAAGGCAACAACCAUGUGACAUUGGUCAAUGAAAUAACUAUCAUAUAAAUAGGUCAAAAAAUAGAAGUUAACCAUGUUAAAAGUUUUGGAAACUAUAUAAAGAAAGGAAAGUAACAAUCGAAAACAUUAAUCAAAAUUUUCAACAUUGAUUUUGGUCGUUAGAUUAUUAAGAAAAUGAACUUUAAACCUAAUUCAACUUUACAAAACUGAAUUAUAAUUUAGUUAUGUCUUUAGAUGAUGUGAGAUUUUCAACACACUCUCUCACGUCAAGAACAUAAAGCAUGGGAAUAGAAGGGGACCUAAUAGCGGGUGGCAAGAUAUGCCCAACUAAUCUCGUUAGAAUGGGUCCUUAAUAAGCUCUAAUAGUGUUUUAAAAAAGUAAAUUUUAAGUCAAACUCAAUCUUACAAAAUUGACUUGAUAAGAUGAGAUUUGCAUCCAAUAUAUAUUAUAUUUUGGCCAUAUCUCUAGAUGUUGUUAGAUCUCCAACAUAGAUUAAUGAGUGACUAAAUUAUCUAUGGUUAAGGUUGGAUAUAGCCAAACCAAAUUUAGUGUACACUCUAGUUUAAUCAAGUUUGUAUUUAGUAAUUAUUCUUCUUUUCUAUGCCUAAUGUUUAUUUUAGAUUGAUCACACUUAAGAAUUCAUAGAGGUUGAAAAACACUUGAGAAUCCUAUAAAAAAUAACAACAGAUUAGGAUUGCUCCUAGGAAUAGUUCAAAAUUAAUUAGGCCGCUCUUGGCUUCUAAUCAUUCGAGCUGGUCUCUAAGCCUAGAAGACGCUGCAUACAUACUUAUAUGUGAAGAUCCCCAUAUUGAAAUCUACUUGGUCCAAAUGCCAAUUGAAUGUGAAAGCAAGUGAUAGAAGCUCUCCAAAUUGUCAUCCUGGCCAUUGGAUUGAGUCUCUAAAUAAUAAAUUCCACAAGUAUAAGUAAUACCCCCCUUAGCAACUAGUCAAGUUUAUACCUUUCCAUUGAGCCAACCUCAUUUUGCUUCAACUUGAAAACCUAGUUGUAUCUUAUUGCCAUCUUCUCUGGUGGGUGUCCAGGUUUGGUUCUUUUCCAAAGUUAGCGAAACUUAUUUUUCAUAGCAUAGGUUUGGGAGAAAAAAAAAAAUCUGCGAGUUAGACAUUGGAUACCUAGCCUGUGACUCCAAACACAAGGGUUCAGUUGUAAAGUUAAUUAAGAGCAAUGAGUCGUGGGCAUAUUUUAGUGCUGGAAUAUUUUGAUGAAGAUACUGAUGUAGGUGGUGUUGAACCCAGAGGAUCAAUUAUGGAAGGGUUGGUAUUAUUUGUUGUUGACUGAUCAUAUUUUUUUUAUGGUUGCAUUUGUUGUAGGGGUGCAAAUGAAAUGUUUUAAAGAGAUAAUAAGUAGGCUGAUCAUUGGUUGAGAUGUACAAAAACUUCUUCUCACAGAAUUUCACAACCCUUUGGAAGAAAAAUUUCUCCAAUUUUAGAUCAAACAAAAAAUACCCUUUGUGCUUGACUAGAAAAACCAAAAAGAUGCAUUUUCUAGCUAAGGUCCAAUUUCUUCCACUUGGAAGGAAGACUUCCAUCAACAAAAGCAGCUUGUUCUUUGAAUUUAAUCUUUAAAGCCAUAGUUGAGACUUUUGACCAAGAAGAAUGGUUAUCUCUAACAUGUGGAGCAGUGAUGAGAACCUUGGAAGGUUGCUCCAAGAAGUGGAUAAACUAUUUCCAGCUCCAAUGGAAAAAAUCCAUGGUUUAAGGCAUCAGAUUUCUAGCACAUGCUUUGGUUUGGAUUGUAAGAAGUUUCUUGAUGAAUUCUUGGAUGUUUAUUGGUUGGGUUUUGGUGAAGAGGUUUGCGAAAGCUUUAAGGAAGAGAGGUUCAAGAUCUUGAUUGAAUAUUGAUAGUUGUUUGUAGGUGUUCUUUGUGGUGGUUAUGAUCGAAAAUUAAUUUCAAGGGUGGAUGUGUUUUUUGUGAAUUUAGAUGGUGUUUCAAGGUGGUGUUUGGUUGGAGCAUGGAUGGCCAAAGCUAUUGGUGGUUAUGCACAACCUAUAAAAAGAAUAAACUAAGCAAAGAACAGAUGUGAUUAAAGGAAAGAAUAGGAAACAACAAGAUAGAAAUACCUAGGAUGAGGUUAACUUAUCUUGGAUGUUAACCAAGAUCAUAAAAAACUAAGAAUUAGAAAGAAGCUUCUGCCACUCAAACUCAAUGAGAUAAGCAAGGAUUAGCCACUAGACCUGGUUCUCAAGAUAAGAAUCUAAAAAUUUGAAACUCUCAAUUUCUUACAAGCACUCACUACUCUUGCAAACAAAUGACUUUUCUCUCCCAAAGUAAAAGUGUCUACAAAAUGGACUAAACACUUUUAUGUAGGAGGCAUGUAGGAGGGGAAGGAAGUCAAACACGCCUCCUCUUAUACAUGUGACCAAACAGUACGAAGUCUUCUCCUAUAUCUUUCAUAGCUCACCUUAUACACAAUCAAAUAAUUUAUGACAUGAAAGCUAUUAUCUAUUUUUCUUUACAAGUUGUCUAACUAGUAAAACUCUACCUUUACUCUGUUUCCUUUAAGCUUAAGUAUUUCCUUUCUAUCUAUGACAACAUCAAGAAAAAACCAAUAAUGCUCCAAGAUUUCGUUUGGAUGCACGUAGAAAGGGCUAGAAGGACCCGGAAUCCGAUUUGGAUUCACCAUGCUUACUUGAAUAUGAAGAUUUCAAUAGUCAAAUAGAGAAGAAAGAGCUCAAGAAUCAGAGACGAACGAUCUUGUACAGCAGUAGCAGAGCACCCUAGGAAAGGAGCUCUAUUGCCAUUCCAGAAUUAAAUCGAGAAGGUGAAACUUUCAGAGAAUGAAAACUUCUUCUGAAAUGAGAAUAAAGCACCAGUGAAAGAUGAAAGGGAUUUCUCUCAUUGCUAACUAGAUCUUCAAACAGCUACUAACUAAAUGAAUCAACAGCGCAGAGACAUAACAUAAAUGAAUCAAUUAACUGACUAUAGUAUCAGUUAUCACUUCCACCGUAAACAGCUAGUAAAACAGAACAUUCCUCUUAUCCGUUUGAAUAACUUCCAACGGCCCCUAAAAUACGUAGUGUUGAUUUAAAAAGUCAAACCCCUCAAAACUAAAGAAUCUCGAUGCUCCUAUAUUACUUGAGUCAUAGAUCUACGCAAAAUCAAAAGGCACAACACACACGGAGCCUCACUGAAGAAUCAUGAUUGCAUAAAAGUUGUUGAAGCUUCAAGAGCGAAAACAAUUGAUUCUACAAACCAUAAGCAAUUUCAAUUUUGAACAAGCACAUGAACUUAAUUCUGCAGUAGUUACGCACACUAGCACGACAUAAACAUCAAUAAGGCAUUCGAACUUAAACUAUCAGUAUUGCGAAUAGAGAGGACGCCUGUAUUCAUCAAAGUACUGAUCACGAUCAACGAAGAUAAUGGCNNNNNN
rnacentral:lncRNA from 1 species